GACGAACGCUGGCGGCGUGCUUAACACAUGCAAGUCGAACGGAAAGGCCCCUUUGGGGGUACUCGAGUGGCGAACGGGUGAGUAACACGUGAGUAACCUGCCCUUGACUUCGGGAUAACUUCAGGAAACUGGGGCUAAUACCGGAUAGGAAUCCUUGCUGCAUGGUGGGGGUUGGAAAGCUUCGGCGGUUUUGGAUGGACUCGCGGCUUAUCAGCUUGUUGGUGGGGUAGUGGCUUACCAAGGCUUUGACGGGUAGCCGGCCUGAGAGGGCGACCGGCCACAUUGGGACUGAGAUACGGCCCAGACUCCUACGGGAGGCUGCAGUGGGGAAUAUUGCACAAUGGGCGGAAGCCUGAUGCAGCAACGCCGCGGGCGGGAUGACGGCCUUCGGGUUGUAAACCGCUUUCAGCAGGGGCGAAGCUUGUGGUGACGGUACCUGCAGAAGAAGCACCGGCUAACUACGUG
rnacentral:rRNA from 1 species